rnacentral:ncRNA from 1 species
AGACGACUUUGCUCGAACUGGGUAUUGUAAGCGGCAGAGUGGCCUUGCUGCUACGAUCCGCUGAGAUUCAGCCCGUGUUCGGAAGAUUUUC